rnacentral:piRNA from 1 species
GCAGUGUGCACCACCGUGGGAAUGGGCUCU